UAGAGUUUGAUCCUGGCUCAGAUUGAACGCUGGCGGCAGGCCUAACACAUGCAAGUCGAGCGGAUGAAGGGAGCUUGCUCCUGGAUUCAGCGGCGGACGGGUGAGUAAUGCCUAGGAAUCUGCCUGGUAGUGGGGGAUAACGUCCGGAAACGGGCGCUAAUACCGCAUACGUCCUGAGGGAGAAAGUGGGGGAUCUUCGGACCUCACGCUAUCAGAUGAGCCUAGGUCGGAUUAGCUAGUUGGUGGGGUAAAGGCCUACCAAGGCGACGAUCCGUAACUGGUCUGAGAGGAUGAUCAGUCACACUGGAACUGAGACACGGUCCAGACUCCUACGGGAGGCAGCAGUGGGGAAUAUUGGACAAUGGGCGAAAGCCUGAUCCAGCCAUGCCGCGUGUGUGAAGAAGGUCUUCGGAUUGUAAAGCACUUUAAGUUGGGAGGAAGGGCAGUAAGUUAAUACCUUGCUGUUUUGACGUUACCAACAGAAUAAGCACCGGCUAACUUCGUGCCAGCAGCCGCGGUAAUACGAAGGGUGCAAGCGUUAAUCGGAAUUACUGGGCGUAAAGCGCGCGUAGGUGGUUCAGCAAGUUGGAUGUGAAAUCCCCGGGCUCAACCUGGGAACUGCAUCCAAAACUACUGAGCUAGAGUACGGUAGAGGGUGGUGGAAUUUCCUGUGUAGCGGUGAAAUGCGUAGAUAUAGGAAGGAACACCAGUGGCGAAGGCGACCACCUGGACUGAUACUGACACUGAGGUGCGAAAGCGUGGGGAGCAAACAGGAUUAGAUACCCUGGUAGUCCACGCCGUAAACGAUGUCGACUAGCCGUUGGGAUCCUUGAGAUCUUAGUGGCGCAGCUAACGCGAUAAGUCGACCGCCUGGGGAGUACGGCCGCAAGGUUAAAACUCAAAGGAAUUGACGGG
rnacentral:rRNA from 1 species